rnacentral:rRNA from 1 species
GCUACUGCCAUCAGAGUUCGAUUAAGCCAUGUUAGUCGAGGGUGCUUCUUCUUCGGAAGAGGUAACCCGGCGGACGGCUCAGUAACACGUGGAUAACUUGCCCUUGGGUCCGGGAUAACCCCUGAGAAAUUGGGGACAAUACCGGAUAGGGCAUCGAUAGCUGGAAUGCGCGAUGUCCAAAAGCUGAGGCGCCCAAGGAUAGGUCUGCGGCCGAUUAGGUUGUUGUUGAUGUAAUGGAUCAACAAGCCUGCAAUCGGUACGGGUUGUGAGAGCAAGAGCCCGGAGAUGGGUUCUGAGAAAAGAACCCAGGUCCUACGGGACGCAUCAGGCGCGAAAACUUUACAAUGUGCGAAAGCACGAUAAGGGAACUCUGAGUGCCUCCUACGGAGGCUGUUCAGGUGUCUAAAAAGCACUUGAAGUAAGGGCUGGGUAAGACCGGUGCCAGCCGCCGCGGUAACACCGGCAGCCCAAGUGGUAGCCACGAUUAUUGGGUCUAAAGCGUCCGUAGCCGGCCAGGUAAGUUCUUUGGGAAAUUUAACCGCUCAACGGUUAAGCUUUCAGGGAAUACUGCUUGGCUUGGGACCGGGAGAGGUCAGAGGUACUUCAAGGGUAGGGGUGAAAUCCGUUAAUCCUUGAGGGACCACCAGUAGCGAAGGCGUCUGACCAGACCGGGUCCGACGGUGAGGGACGAAGGCUAGGGUCGCGAACCGGAUUAGAUACCCCGGGUAGUCCUAGCUGUAAACGAUGCGGGCCAGGUGUUGGCAUUACUGCGAGUGAUGUCA